CCUACGGGCGACAGCAGUGGGGAAUAUUGGGCAAUGGACGCAAGUCUGACCCAGCAACGCCGCGUGAAGGAAGAAGGCUUUCGGGUUGUAAACUUCUUUUAAGGGGGAAGAGCAGAAGACGGUACCCCUUGAAUAAGCCACGGCUAACUACGUGCCAGCAGCCGCGGUAAUACGUAGGUGGCAAGCGUUGUCCGGAUUUACUGGGUGUAAAGGGCGUGCAGCCGGAGAGACAAGUCAGAUGUGAAAACCAUGGGCUCAACCUGUGGCCUGCAUUUGAAACUGUUUUUCUUGAGUACUGGAGAGGCAGACGGAAUUCCUAGUGUAGCGGUGAAAUGCGUAGAUAUUAGGAGGAACACCAGUGGCGAAGGCGGUCUGCUGGACAGCAACUGACGCUGAGGCGCGAAAGCGUGGGGAGCAAACAGGAUUAGAUACCCGUGUAGUC
rnacentral:rRNA from 1 species